rnacentral:rRNA from 1 species
CACGCCAGUGAUCCUAUGACCAUUUUCUUUCCUUUUAACACUCCAUGUUCAUUUUGUUCAUAAAANGGUUACUAACAGGUCUCGUAUAAUUAACUUUAUAUUUGUUAUAUAUAGUAGUCGAUUCNAAAUCUAUAAAUUACUGUCCUUAAGCACUAAUAUACUGUAGNUUUGUUGACCUAUGUGUCUCAAUACCCCACCCCAGAAGGUCAGUGAGGCACAAUGAGGACUAGCGGAGAGGGCGGGUGCAUCCGAGAGAAUGAGGGGAAAGGAAGGACGCAGUGNUGGAAUAGCGCGUAAGUAUCUGUAGCUUGUANAAUCUCGUGUGGUUCCACGNCGCUGGUGGACGGGUGCCUCUCNUUGNAAUAUGAAAAUACACUCAAUUCACACAGUGUCUCCUGACCUAAUAAGUCUAUUUUUAAGGUAACGAUCACACAAGCUAUAUACAAGGAAGCCGGCCUGAGAGGGUGGCUGGCCACAAUGAGUGUGAGACUAGGCCCAGUCUCUUACGUGAGGCAGCAGUGGGGAAUAUUGCACAAUGGGCGCAAGCCUGAUGCAGCAACGCCGCGUGAGGGACGACGGCCUUCGGGUUGUAAACCUCUUUUAGCAGGGAAGAAGCGAAAGUGACGGUACCUGCAGAAAAAGCACCGGCUAACUACGUGCCAGCAGCCGCGGUAAUACGUAGGGUGCAAGCGUUAUCCGGAAUUAUUGGGCGUAAAGAGCUCGUAGGCGGUUUGUCGCGUCUGCUGUGAAAACUGGAGGCUCAACCUCCAGCCUGCAGUGGGUACGGGCAGACUAGAGUGCGGUAGGGGAGAUUGGAAUUCCUGGUGUAGCGGUGGAAUGCGCAGAUAUCAGGAGGAACACCGAUGGCGAAGGCAGAUCUCUGGGCCGUAACUGACGCUGAGGAGCGAAAGGGU